rnacentral:lncRNA from 1 species
GCUAGUUUCAAGUACAAAGAGGUUGGAAUUAUCGUUUCGCUAAAAGUUAUCCCAGCUAUGAAGGUUAGUAAGUUGCUUGACCAGGGUACCUGUUGUAUUUGACUAGUGUGGUAGACACCAGAGAAGUCGAUGUUUCUUUGUUAUUUGAAUCAGUGGUGAAAAAGUAUUAUGAUAUUUUUCUAGAAGAGUUUCUAAGAUUACCGCGCUAAACAGAAAUUGGUCUUGCUAUUGAGAUAGAGUUAGACUCGUUCCUAUAUCUAAAGCUUCAUACAAAAUGGCCCCAACAGAGUUGAAAGAUUUGAAGGUGCAAUUGAAAGAAAUGUUUGACAAGGACUACAUUCGACGAAGUAUGUUAUCUUGGGGUGCACCAAUUUUUGUUUAUUAAGAAGAAAGAUGGGUCGAUGCACUUAUGUUUUGAUUGUAGAAAGUUGAAUAAGGUGUCAGUUAAGAAUAAAUAUUUUUUACCAAUGAAUGAGGAUUUGUUUGAUCAACUGCAAUAAGUCCGUGUUCUUUAAGAUUGAAUUACAUUCAGGUUAUGGCUUGUUGAGGAUUAGAGAACAGUGACAUUCCUAUGGCAGAUUUUCGUUCGUGAUAUGGACAUCAUGAGUUCAUUAUGAUGUCUUUUGAGUUGGCAAAUGCUCAAACAAUGUUUACGACUUGAUGAACAAAGUGUUUAACGAUCUCUUAGACACUUUCGUGAUUGUAUCUAUUGACGAUAUCUUAAUUUAUUCCAAAAUAGAGACAGCGCAUGAGGAGCAUUUAACAUGGUUUUAGAGGCUCUUCGAGUCAACAAAUUGUAUGCAAAGUUUUCAAAAUGUGAGUUUCGGAUGAGGCCAAGUAUCUUUCCAAGCCAUGUGGUAUCUAGAGAUGACAUUUAUGUGGAUCUCAUAAAAGAUUGAAGUCGUUACCAGUUGGCCUCAACCUUUCAUAGUCAGUGAGGUUCGUAGUCUUUUUGGGUUCAGCAGGUUAUUACUAACGGUUUGUAUAAGAAUUUUCUCGUAUAGCUACUCCUUUGACUCAGUUAACUAAGAAAAGGGACUCUGUUUGUUUGGGACAAAGCCUAUGAGGAUAGUGUUUAGGAUCUUAAGCAGAAGCUUGUACAACUCUCGUGCUUACCGUACAUGAUGGUUCAGAAAGUUUCGUAAUUUAUAGUGAUGCUUUUAGGAAAGUUUAAAAGGUAUUAUGAUUCAACAAGUUAAAGUAGUUGCUUGUACUCCUCGUCAGUUGAAGAGUCAUGAGGAAAAUUGUCCAACUUAUGAUAUGGAAUUGACAGUUGUGGUUUUUACAUUAAUGAUUUGAAGACACUAUAUGUAUGAUGAAAAGAUAUAGAUAUUUUCUAACCAAAAGAGUAUAAAAUACUUUUUCACUCAAAAGAAGUUGAGUAUGAGAUAGCAAAGAUGGUUUCAGUUAGUAAAUGACUAUGAUUGUGAGAUUUUGUACCAUCUAGGUAAGGCGAAUGUGGAAGUUGGUGCUCUUCGUAGAAAAGUAUCACAUUUUGACAGCACUUAUUACCAGACAGGUUUCAUUAGACAAAAACCACGAGAGAGCUGAGAUUGUAGUUUUAGUGGGGGAAGUCACCUCAAAGUUAGCUCAGUUGUCAGUACAUCCGAUCUUGAGACAAAGAAUUCUUGUGGUUCAAUUCAUUGAUCCUUAUUUGAUUGAGAAGCAUUGCCUAGUAGAAGUAGGGCAAGUUAAGGAGUUUUCCAUAUCCUUUGAUGAUGAACUUAUGUUUGAGAGAGAAUUAUGUGAGCCAACAGAAAAUGCAAUUAAGACAAGGUUAUUGGUUGAGACUCAUAGUUUCCCAUUUCUCAUGCAUCCAAGUAGCACAAAAAUGUAUCAGGAUCUAAAACGAUUUUAUUGGUGGCGGAAUAUGAAAAGGGAAGUGGCGGAAUUUGUUAGUAAGUGUCUAGUAUGUCAGCAAGUUAAGGCACCUAGACAGAAACCAGCAGGUUUGUUACAACCCUUAAGUGUGCAAGAGUGGAAGUGGGAGAAUGUGUUGAUGGAUUUUAUUUCAGGGCUGCCUAAGACCCUGAAGGGUUUCACAGUGAUUUUGGUUGUCAUAGACAGGCUUACGAAAUCGACACAUUUUGUACCAGGAAAAUCCACUUAUACUGCUAGUAAGUGGGCAGAGUUGUAUUUAACUGAGAUUUGUGAGACUGCAUGGAGUGCCUGUAUCGAUUGUUUCUGAUAGGGGUGCACGGUUUACUUCCAAGUUUUGGAAGGGACUUCAGACUGCUAUGGGUACGAGAUUGGAUUUUAGUACAGCCUUUCAUCCACAGACUGAUGGUCAAACUGAACGUUUGAACCAAGUUUUAGAGGAUAUGCUACGAGCUUGUGUUAUAGAGUUUCCAGGUAGUUGGGACUCUCAUCUACAUUUGAUGGAGUUUGCUUAUAACAACAGUUUCAAGGCUACCAUCGGUAUGGCACCAUUUGAGGCUUUGUAUGGCAAAUGUUGUAGAACCCCUGUUUGUUGGAGUGAGGUUGGUGAACAUAGGUUGAUGGGACCUGAAUUAGUUCGGUCUACUAAUGAGGCUAUUCAAAAGAUUAGAGCACGUAUGCAAACAGCGCAGAGUAGACAGAAGAGUUAUGCAGAUGUACGGCGAAAAGACCUUAAGUUCGAUGUGGGAGAAAAGGUAUUCUUGAAGGUAGCACCUAUGAAGGGUGUUAUGAUUUUUGAGAAGAAAGGGAAGUUAAGUCCUCGUUUUGUUGGACCAUUUGAGAUCUUAGAGAGGGUUGGUGUUGUGGCGUAUCGCUUGGCAUUACCACCAUCACUCUCUGCAGUUCAUAAUGUUUUCCAUGUUUCGAUGUUGAGGAAGUAUGUGGCCGAUACAUCUCAUGUAGUGGACUAUGAACCCUUGGAGAUUGAUGAUCAUUUGAGCUAUGUAGAACAACCUGUGGAGAUUCUGGCUAGAGAGGUAAAGAUGCUUUGUAAUAGAAGCAUUCCAUUAGUAAAGGUUUUGUGGCGGAAUCAUCGAAUUAAAGAGGCGACAUGGGAGCGAGAGGAAGAGAUGAGGACUCGUUAUCCAGAGUUAUUUCAGGAUUAGAACUUUCGAGGACGAAAGUUUCUUAAGGAGGGAAGAAUGUAACGCCCCAAACUUGAAGGUAAAUUAUUUUGAGAGAAUUAUUUCGAUUUGUUCAAGAUUUUUUUUUUAAAUAUGUUGAAGGGGAGAAAGAAGAUUUGAAAAUGUAUUAAUAUAAUUAAAUAUAUAUGUAUUUAAUUAUAUUUUUAUUAUUAUAUUUAUUCUACAUUUUAUUAAAUAAAAGAAAAGAAAAUGAAAAUUUUAAAUAUAUAUAUAUAUAUAUAUAUAUAUAUAUAUAUUUAUAUAUUUUUUAUUAUAAUUAUUUUAUAUAUUUUUUUAAAUAAAAAGAAAAAGAAAAUGAAAAUUUCUUUUUUUCCCUUUUCUUCUUCCUCCCGUGCGCCGCGACCCUCCUUCCCCUUCUCUCCGUUCGUGCAGCAACCGCCCUAACCGUCCUCUUCUCCUUCCGUUCGUGCCCAGCCGCAGCCCAGCCGCAAUCACCACCUCUAUCUUCUUCUUCCCGUCCCGCCGCAGCCAACUGCAGCCAGCCGCCGAUCCUUUCCUUCCAUUUUCUUCUUCCGUCCGCAGCCCUGCCGCGAAGCAAGACCACGCCGCUGCCAGUCCAGAUCUGCGGCGCCGUUGCUCUUCCGCCGCUGCCCAACCGUCUCAGCCGGUUCUGUCUCUGUCGAAGCCACGGUUCUGCAACCGUCUCCGCCGUCUCUAUCUCCGUCCGCGAGGCAAGUCGCACGCCUCAGUCACGAACAGCCUCGCCGACGCAGGUCACGCCGUAUCGCACGAAUUCGGCUACGUUGCCGGGCUACUCCCAUCCGCGCGUAACUGCUGUUGAACGUCCGAACCGUUCUGCCUUCGUCGAUACCCACCGUCGCGGACCAGUUCGCGUGCAAAAGUGUUUUGCACGAUGUCUUUUGUGUAGAUCCUGCGGCAACUUCUAUUUAACGUCGAUUGUCAAAGUCUUGUUACAAGAUAUUGGUAAGGAUGAGAUUGUUCGGUAAUAAGGUCUUACAUUUGUAAAUACAUUAAGAUGUGAUGUUGUUUAAUUGGUUGAAUUGAUCUUUGUUCUUGAAGGCGACAUCGGUGAUUUGGAGUUAGUGUCCUUGAGUUACGCCUUAAGCUUUGUUGGAGUUCGAUUCUUUACUCUUGGGGUUUGUUUGUUGAAGUUAGUUCGACUAAGGAAUUUUACAUAAAGAUCCAGGUAAGGGAUUUUCUACUGGACUCAAUUGUGAUUGUGAACUGUAUGUGUGUUGAAUGUAUACUGUGGUUUGACUGAAAAUAUAUAUGAAUGCAUAUGAAUUGAAGUAGACUUAACGUCGAAUGUAUAUCGUGAUUGUCAUGGAACAUAUAUAUAAGUGUGUGUAUGUGGACAGGACGAAGAUUUUAGAUUGUGUUGGUAUGAGAUGUAGAUAUGAACUUGUGAUUCUCGUUUAGAUUGGGUGUAUGAUUACGCUAAAGUAUGACUGUGUGCUGGAGAACUGAGGGGUGCAUUGACUGUAUAGUGGAUUGACUGAUGUAUUAGCAUAUUAUUGACAGACAUAUGACUGUAGUAAAAUAAGUUGACUGUUAGGAUGUUGAAAGAAAGAACUUUGUGACUUGAAGUAAUUGAAAGAUGGGUUGAAUGGAAUGAAGGGAUAAAUUGUUAGAUUGUAUUGGGAUGUUUACCUUGUAGGUGUCCCACGGGAUCACCAAUUUAUUGUGCACCUUCGGGAGCAUUUGACUGAUAUGUGUUUCUGCAGAACACUAGACUGAUAUGUACGUCCCUCGGGGCGUUAGACUGAUAUGUACGUCCCUCGGGGCGUUAGACUGAGAUGUACGUCCCUCGGGGCGUUAGACUGAUAUGUACGUCCCUUGGGGCGUUAGACUGAGAUGUGUAUCCUACGGGAUCACAAGACUGCGACUGUACAGGAUGACCCAAUAGAACUUUAACAAUUUAUUUUCCCCUGACGAGACGAGUAGAGGGUCUCUUACUGAGUAUUUAAAAUACUCACCCUUCUUAUGUUUAAUUUUCAGGCAAAGGUAAUAAAGGCGGCAAACAGGCGAGGGGCAGGAAGGAAACGUGAUGCCAUAGGAAACGUGUUUUUGCUUCUGCUUAUGGGUUCUUGAGAGGUUUAAAAUGGAUUGAAAUUUAGUUUACAAACGUUUGUUGUAAAUAGUAUUAUUUUAUGAAUGUUUAAAAAUCAGGCCUGACUUGAAGAUGUUUUUUUUAAAUUGCUUACGUUUUGUUUUAUAUUAAACAAAGUCUUUAUUUGAAAAAAAAAAAAAUAACGACCUCGACUUACUUAGAAAAGUUGGGUCGUUACAGUAAAUGUUUUUAUAUGACUAACAACAUAUAUAUGUAUUAUGGAGUAGUAUAAAUGUAAUUGUUGAGCAAGAAAUUUCAACCAAUGAAAUUACACCACGUCGUCACACCCAAGUUGUGAUGAUUAUAAUUUGAUUGGAUUUGGGUAGUCAAGUUUUCCAACCCAAUUCAAGCCCCUGAUAAAAAAUCAGGCCAAAUAAAGGGGCCUAAGCCCACUAAGAAAAUGGGCCCAAGCCCAAGUCCAAGCUCAACAACUCAACAAGCAAAUGGGUCCAAGCCCACAUAAAGUCCACAAAUUUUCUCUAUAAAUAGAGACCUUUGUCAUUCAUUCGAGAGAUCUUUUGUUGAAGGAAGAAAUGAAGCUCUGAAGUACAGAAGCUUUGAAGAAUUGAAGAUUCAAACUUCUAUAGAGCUCUCAAGACGUGCAAGUUCUUAUCAACUUCGAGAUCAUCAUCUCCUGAAAUAUUGAAGACUUGGAAGAUCAAAAUUUCCUUGAAUUCCAGAAGACUGAAGCUGAAAUAGACCGAACCAUUUAAAUUCGGUUUGGACUAUUUGAGCCAGCAACAAACUGUGUUUUUUGUUUUGUACAUAAAUGGUGUGGUUUGAUUCGGUUUUAACAAGCGGUUCAAUUUAUACCGUUUAGACUUGAUCUUAUAUAAUGUGAAAUUAUUUUUUUUCUUUGAAUUUUUAUCUAAGUGUACUCAAAUUGUAUACCAUGUUACAAAAUUAAUUGCAAUAAAUUUUUUAAAAUUUUCAAAAAUAUCAUAAAUUGACUAAUAUUUUAUACAAAUAUAGAGUAAAAAUGACCAAUUUACUCUUUUUAUUAUUAAUAAUAUAUUAAAAAUAAAAAAGAAAAGUGAACCACGUUUAAGAUUUUCAUUUAUUAAAUAUUCUAUGAAAAUAUGGAUUAAAUUCUAUUAAAGUAAUAUUAAUAAUAAAAAUUGUCCUUAGUUUGCUUUUUAUGAUUUUAUUAAAAAAUUGUCAUUUUUUAUUUUGCAUUCUUUUUCAUAUAUUUUAUAUAAUUAUAGUAUAUAUUGAAUAAUAUAAUGUAUAUUUUAUUAGUGAAAUGUUCUUAUAUCAAUUUAUUUAUUUAUUUUAUUUAAGUAUUCAUAUCUUACGUAGUAAAUAAUACAUUAUGUUUGAAAUAAUAUUAAUUAUAUAUGAAAGUUGUUUAUGUUUACAAGAACAUGAAUGAGAAAUAAUUAUGAUGAGUAUAUGUAAUAUAUGUCAUUAAAAUAUUUGUUAUUCUCUAGUAUCUGUAAUAGGGGUGUUCAAAAUGAAGUUGAAAACUGAAUCGAAUCACUAAUCGAACCGAAAUCGAAUGCAUAUGGUUCGGUUCGAUUCGAUUUCUAUUUAAAAAAAACCACAUAAAAUUCGGUUCGGUUCAGUUUAAGAUGUUAAGAACGCGAUUCUCAAACCGAACUGAAUUGCUUUAUUUUAAAAACUAAAUAUAUAUAUAUAUAUAUAUGUUAAUAUGUAUGUAUGAUAUUCUCUAUAACACAAGCUCGUAGCAUAUCCUCUAAACCAAUUUACUCUUUUUAUUAUUAAUAAUAUAUUAAAAAUAAAAAGAAAAGUGAACCACGUUUAAGAUUUUCAUUUAUUAAAUAUUCUAUGAAAAUAUGGAUUAAAUUCUAUUAAAGUAAUAUUAUGUAAUGCCCAAAGAAAAGGUAAAUAUAUAUAUAUAUAUAUAUAUAUAUAUAUAUAUAUAUAUUAUUUUUAUUUUAAUAUUAAAAAAUUUCUUUAUUUUUUUCUCUUCUUUUCUUCUUUUUCUUUUUCUUUUCUUUUCUCCCUUCUUCUUCCCCGUGCGACCGCGACCCCUAUCCAUCUUCUCCACUCCGUUCUCCAUCUCCGUUCGCGAAGCAGCCUUGCAGCAGCCGCCGCGUAACUGUCUGAUCCAGAUCUGCGUCGCAGCCCGGGAACCGCCGCCCUUAUUUUCUUUCCGGUCGUUUUCUUUCUCCUUCGGAUCGAAACUGCCACGACCAUCCACCUGUUACUGCCGUUGCUCUUCCGCCUCUGCCCAGUUUUGCCGCGCAACACCUGUCUCCGUCGAAGCCAACCCAGCCGUCGUCUCUAUCUCCGUUCGCGAGGCAAAUCGCACGCCUCAGUCACGAACAGCCUCGCCGACGCAGGUCACGCCGCAUCGUACGAGUUCGGCUACGUUGCCGGGCUACUCCCGUCCGCGCGUAACUGCUGUUGAACGUCCGAACCAUUCUGUCUUCGUCGAUACUCGCUGUCCAUUUACGAAUUGUGGACCGAUUCGCGUGCAGAUUUGUUUGCACGAUUUCUUUUGUGUAGAUCCUGCUGCGGCAACUUCUAUUUUAACGUUGAUUGUCAAAGUCUUGUUAUAAGUUAUUGGUAAGGAUGAGAUUGUUGGGUAAUAAGGUUUUACAUUUGUAAAUACAUUAAGAUGUGAUGUUUGUUUAAUUGGUUGAAUUGAUGUUUGUUCUUGAAGGCGACAUCGGUGAUUUGGAGUUACUGUCCUUGAGUUACGCCUUAAGCUUUGUUGGAAUUCGAUUCUUUACUCUUUGGGGUUUGUUUGUUGGAAUUAGUUCGACCAAGAAAUUUUACAUAAAAUCGAGGUAAGGGAUUUUCUACUGGACUCAAUUGUGAUUGUGAACUGUGAUUGUGAACUGUAUGUGUGUUGAAUGUAUACUGUGGGUUGACUGAAAAUAUAUAUGAAUGUAUAUGAAUUGAAGUAGACUUGACGUCGAAUGUAUGUCGUGAUUGUCAUGGAAUCUAUAUAUAAAUGUGUGUAUAUGGACAGGACGGAGAUUGUAGAUUGUGUUUGUAUGAGAUUCUCGUUUAGAUUGGGUGUAUGAUUACGCUAAAGUAUGACUGUGUGCUGGUGAACUGAGGGGUGCAUUGACUGUAUAGUGGAUUGACUGAUGUAUUAGCAUAUUAUUGACAGACAUAUGACUGUAGUAAAAUAAGUUGACUGUUAGGAUGUUGAAAGAAAGAACUUUGUGACUUGAAGUAACUGAAAGAUGGGUUGAAUGGAAUGAGGGGAAAAUUUUUAGAUUGUAUUGGGAUGUUUACCUUGUAGGUGUCCCACGGGAUCACCAAUUUAUUGUGCACCUUCGGGAGCAUUUGACUGAUAUGUGUUUCUGCAGAACACUAGACUGAUAUGUACGUCCCUCGGGGCGUUAGACUGAUAUGUACGUCCCUCGAGGCGUUAGACUGAGAUGUGUAUCCUACGGGAUCACAAGACUGCGACUGUACAGGGUGUCCCAAUAGAACUUUAACAAUUUAUUUUCCCCUGACGAGACCAGUAGAGGGUCUCUUACUGAGUAUUUAAAUACUAACCCUUCUUAUGUUUAAUUUUCAGGCAAAGGUAAUAAAGGCGCCAAACAGGCGAGGGGCAGGAAGGAAGCGUGAUGCUAUAGGAAACGUGUUUUUGCUUCCACUUAUGGGUUCUUGUGAGGUGUAAAAAAAAUAAUAACGACCUCGACUUACAUAGAAAAGUUGGGUCGUUACAGUUGGUAUCAGAGCCUAAGUUUUAGGUUCUGUAGACUGACUUACGAUGUAAGUCUAUGUUUUUGUGUUCCUAUGGCUAACGCGACCCUUCGUCUCUCGUCAGGUAUGCUUGAUGCUUAUAUGUAUGGUUUAUUUGCAUGACCUUGCCUAAAUUAAACUAGAUUGCAUGACGAUAAAGACUUGCUUAUGCUUAUGAUUAAGAUUUUGUUAAAGAGUGUUGUUGGUGGAUAAUAGGAAUUAUGCCGCCAAGGGAGGGUGUACGUAGAGGAGGUCGUAGAGGCCGAGGUAGAGGAGUAGGAGGUCGAGGUAGAGGCGCAGGUCGUAAUCAGCCUACUGAGGGUCAAGCUGAACAGCGAAUUCCUGCUGCACCCGUGACUCACGUUGAGUUUGAUGCACUGUCUGCUCACAUGGAGCAGAGGUUUACAAAACUUAUGACAGCUAUAGCUCAAAACCAGCAGGAACCUGCGGUUCCACCUGCACCUGUAGUUCCCCCUGCACUGCAGCCCCUCGUGCACAAGGAUUACCGAACCAACUUUCUGCUGAGGCGAAACAUUUGAGGGACUUUCAGAAGUAUGACCCUCAGACGUUUGAUGGGUCACUGGAGGAUCCUACUAAAGCUGAAAUGUGGUUGUCCUCUGUGGAAACCAUAUUUAAUUACAUGAGAUGUCCCGAGGAGCACAGAGUUCAGUGUGCUGCUUUUCUACUGAGGGACAGAGGCAUUAUCUGGUGGAGGACUACAAUGCGCAUGCUAGGUGGAGAUGUGAGGCAAAUUACCUGGGAUCAGUUUAAGGACUGCUUCUAUACCAAGUUUUUCUCGGCUAACCUUAGAGACGCCAAAAGCCAGGAAUUCUUGGAGUUGAAGCAAGGAUAUAUGACAGUCGAGGAGUACGACCAGGAGUUUGAUAUGCUGUCACGUUUUGCCCCUGAGCUUGUUAGUAAUGAGCAGGCUAGAGCUGAUAGGUUCGUCAAGGGAUUGAGAGAUGAAAUUAGGGGCUUUGUGCGAGCACUAAAGCCCACUACCCAAGCUGAAGCACUGCGUCUGACAGUGGAUAUGAGCAUUGGGAAUGAUGAAAUACAGCCAAGGAGCUUUGAUAAGGGAUCGUCGUCGGGUCAAAAGAGAAAAGUAGAGUAGAGAACUGUAGGAGUUCCUCAGAGGAACUUGAGACCAGGCGAUCCUUUUCGCAGUUUCCAGCAGAGUUCUGGCGGUGCAGGAGACACUACUCGAGAGAGGCCAGUAUGUAAUACAUGUGGGAAACGCCACCUGGGUCGUUGUUUGAUGGGAACGAGAGUCUGUUAUAAGUGCAAGCAAGAGGGACACAUGGCUGAUAGGUGUCCCUUGAGAUCUACUGGGGCUGGAUCGAGCAGUCAGGGAGAGAGACCUCCACAGCGUGGUACAAUCUUUGCCACUAAUAGAUCAGAGGCAGAGAAGGUCGGCACAAUAGUGACAGGUACAUUACCAGUGUUAGGGCAUUUUGCCUUGACCUUGUUUGACUCGGGAUCUUCUCAUUCAUUUAUUUCAUCGCUUUUUGUGAUGCAUGCAUGCUUAGAGGUGGAACCCUUAGACUAUGUUUUGUCAGUGUCUACACCGUCUGGAGAAAUUAUGUUGUCUAAGGAAAAGAUUAAAGCAUGUGAAAUUGAGAUAGCUGGUCGUGUGCUGGACGUAACCUUGUUGGUAUUAGAUAUGUGUGACUUUGAUGUAAUUUUAGGUAUGGAUUGGCUAGCUACUAAUCAUGCUAGUAUUGAUUGUUCUCGUAAGGAAGUUGUGUUCAGUCCCCCUACUGCAUCUAGCUUUAAAUUCAAGGGGGUAGGAACAGUAGUACUGCCUAAAGUAAUCUCAGCUAUGAAAGCUAGUAAACUACUCAACCAGGGUACUUGGAGUAUUUUGGCAAGUGUGGUGGAUACUAGGGAAGGUGAGACUUCUUUAACUUCAGAACCUGUGGUAAGAGAAUACCCAGAUGUGUUUCCAAAAGAUCUUCCAGGACUACCGCCACAUAGAGAGGUUGAUUUUGCCAUUGAGUUGGAGCCAAACACUACUCCUAUUUCUAGAGCCCCUUAUAGGAUGGCUCCUGCUGAGUUGAAAGAAUUGAAGGUACAGUUACAGGAAUUGCUUGACAAAGGCUUUAUUCGACCUAGUGUGUCAUCUUGGUGUGCACCAGUAUUGUUUGUGAAGAAGAAGGAUGGGUCGAUGCGUCUUUGCAUUGACUAUAGAGAGUUGAAUAAAGUAACAGUCAAGAACAGAUAUCCUUUACCCAGAAUCGAUGAUUUGUUCGAUCAGUUACAGGGAGCCACAGUGUUCUCUAAGAUUGAAUUAUGGUCAGGUUAUCACCAGUUGAGGAUUAGAGACCGUGAUAUUCCUAAGACUGCUUUUCGUUCGAGGUAUGGACAUUAUGAAUUCAUAGUAAUGUCUUUUGGUUUGACUAAUGCACCUGCUGUAUUUAUGGAUUUGAUGAACAGGGUGUUUAAGGAUUUCUUAGACACUUUUCUUGGUCAUGUGGUUUCCAGUGAGGGAGUUUCAGUAGACCCUGCAAAGAUAGAAGCGGUUACCAGUUGGUCUCGACCCUCUACAGUUGGUGAGGUUCGUAGUUUUCUGGGUUUAGCAGGGUACUACCGGAGGUUUGUGGAGGAUUUUUCAUGUUUGGCUACUCCUUUGACUCAGUUGACAAGGAAGGGAACUCCGUUUGUUUGGAGUCCAGCUUGCGAGGACAGUUUUCAGAACUUAAAGCAAAGGUUAGUUACUGCACCGGUCCUUACUGUACCAGAUGGAUCUGGAAGUUUUGUGAUUUACAGUGAUGCUUCCAAGAAAGGACUGGGUUGUGUUAUGAUGCAGAAAGGUAAGGUGGUUGCUUAUGCCUCUCGUCAGUUGAAGAGUCACGAGCAGAACUACCCCAUACAUGAUUUGGAGUUGGCAGCAGUGGUUUUUGCAUUGAAGAUAUGGAGACAUUACUUGUACGGUGAAAAGAUACAAAUCUUUACUGACCAUAAGAGCCUAAAGUACUUCUUCACUUAGAAGGAGUUGAAUAUGAGACAACGAAGGUGGCUCGAGUUGGUAAAAGAUUAUGACUGUGAGAUAUUGUACCAUCCUGGUAAGGCGAAUGUGGUGGCUGAUGCUCUUAGUAGAAAAGUAUCACAUUCGGCAGCACUCAUUACUAGACAGGUACCAUUGCAUCGAGACUUGGAGAGAGCUGAGAUUGCAGUGUCUGUGGGGAGAGUCACCUCACAGUUGGCUCAAUUAACGGUGCAACCGACUCUAAGGCAGAAGAUUGUUGAUGCUCAGAGUAGUCAUCCUUAUUUGAUGGAGAGAUGUCGCCUUGUUGAAACAGGGCAGACUGAUGAGUUCUCCAUAUCCUCUGAUGGUGGGUUGAUGUUUGAAAGACGUUUGUGUGUGCCAGCGAACAGUACAGUUAAGAUUGACUUACUAGAUGAAGCCCAUAAUUCCCCAUUUCCAAUGCAUCCUGGUAGCACGAAAAUGUAUCAGGAUCUAAAACGAUUUUAUUGGUGGCGGAAUAUGAAAAGGGAAGUGGCGGAAUUUGUUAGUUAGUGUCUAGUAUGUCAGCAAGUUAAGGCACCUAGACAGAAACCAGCAGGUUUGUUACAACCCUUAAGUGUGCCAGAGUGGAAGUGGGAGAAUGUGUCGAUGGAUUUUAUUUCAGGGCUGCCUAAGACCCUGAAGGGUUUCACAGUGAUUUUGGUUGUCAUAGACAGACUUACGAAAUCGGCACAUUUUGUACCAGGGAAAUCCACUUAUACUGCUAGUAAGUGGGCAGAGUUGUAUUUAACUGAGAUUGUGAGACUGCAUGGAGUGCCUGUAUCGAUUGUUUCUGAUAGGGAUGCACGGUUUACUUCCAAGUUUUGGAAGGGACUUCAGACUGCUAUGGGUACGAGGUUGGAUUUCAGUACAGCUUUUCAUCCACAGACUGAUGGUCAAACUGAACGUUUGAACCAAGUUUUAGAGGAUAUGCUACGAGCUUGUGUUAUAGAGUUUCUAGGUAGUUGGGACUUUCAUCUACAUUUGAUGGAGUUUGCUUAUAACAACAGUUUUCAGGCUACCAUCGGUAUGGCACCAUUUGAGGCUUUGUAUGGCAAAUGUUGUAGAACCCCUGUUUGUUGGAGUGAGGUUGGUGAACAUAGAUUGAUGGGACCUGAAUUAGUUCGGUCUACUAAUGAGGCUAUUCAAAAUAUUAGAGCACUUAUGCAAACAGCGCAGAGUCGACAGAAGAGUUAUGCGGAUGUACAGCGAAAAGACCUUAAGUUCGAUGUGGGAGAAAAGGUAUUCUUGAAGGUAGCACCUAUGAAGGGUGUUAUGCGUUUUGAGAAGAAAGGAAAGUUAAGUCCUCGUUUUGUUGGACCAUUUGAGAUCUUAGAGAGGGUUGGUGUUGUGGCGUAUCGCUUGGCAUUACCACCAUCUCUCUCUGCAGUUCAUAAUAUUUUCCAUGUUUCGAUGUUGAGGAAGUAUGUGGUGGAUACAUCUCAUGUAGUAGACUAUGAACCCUUGGAGAUUGAUGAGCAUUUGAGCUAUGUAGAACAACCUGUGGAGAUUCUGGCUAGAGAGGUAAAGAUGCUUCGUAAUAGAAGCAUUCCAUUAGUAAAGGUUUUGUGGCAGAAUCAUCGAAUUGAAGAAGCGACAUGGGAGCGAGAAGAAGAGAUGAGGACUCGUUAUCCAGAGUUAUUUCAGGAUUAGAACUUUCGAGGACGAAAGUUUCUUAAGGGGGGAAGAAUGUAAAGUCCCAAAGGUAAAAAUAUAUAUAUAUAUAUACAUUUUUUUUAAUUUAUAUAUAUAUAUAUAUAUAUAUUUUCUUUUCUUUUCUUUUUCUUUUCUUUUCUCUCUUCUCCUUCCUCCCCGUGCGUUCUCCUUCCCGUUCGCAGCAACCGCCGCCCCAUCUAUUCUCUUUCCGUUCGUGCGCAGCCGCAGUCCAACCACCCCUUCUUUUCUUUUCUUCCUCUUUCGUUCGACGUCGACGGUCAGGCCAAGCCAAACCGCCGCUGCAACCGUCGGCCGCCGUCUCUGUUGCGAAGCAAGGCCGCCGCGUGACCUUCCGCCCACCGCCGUGUGACCCUCUGUCCAGAUCUGCACCGCUAGAUCGAGCCGUCCACCGGUUUCGUCUGUUUCUGUCUCCGUUCACCGAAGUCGAACCCAACCGCCACCCUUUCUUUUCUUCUUCGAUCCAAAAACUGCCGCUGCAACCGUCAGCCGCCGCGUGACCUCUGCCCAGCACCGCCGCGCGACCUCUGUCUCUGCGCCGUUACCCAGAUCUGCGUCGCCGUGCCCCAUCCUAAUCGUCUCUGUCUCUGUCGAAGUUUUGUUGGUAAGAUUGAAGUUAUGAAAUUGUAGUCGUUUACAAAACAAUUUAAGUAUGGGUUGUGAUGUUUUCAAGGUGUUCAAACGUUACGGAUGGGUUAAUUGACUAAUUUGAUAAAUUAUUCUUGAAGGUGUGAAAGGUAACUUUGGAUCACUUAAAUUCACAACCAAUUUGUGAAUUGUUGAGGGUUCAGUUUGCCAAUAUAUCGGUGAGUUGGAACUUACGUUGAGGAAAGUAAGUGAGAUAUGUAUCGUGAAAGUAAUUGAAUUUUGUGUUGUUGUGCUUAGGAUUGUUUCGAGGACGUUAGUUGAUUAAGGAGCUUCCCCAACUUUGAGGUAAGGGACUUUCUACUGGACUCACCUAAAGUUUUUGAGUUGUGUUGGACUGUAUGGAUGAUGAUUAAGAUGUACAUGUUUGGUUGCAGACUAAAUGUUUAGUGUAUGUUGUAUUUGACUGGAAACAUAUAUAUAUACAUUGUUGUGUGAAUUGAUGUGGAUUGCCGAAAGUAUACAUGUGAAUGACUGAAAUUAUGCUUAUGUGUACAUGAUGAUAUUAAUAGAUUGUGUUGUAUAAAGAUUUGGAUGUGAACUAGUGAAUUUGUUUCGGUUGGAUGUGGAUUAUACUGAACUGUGGUUUGUGCUGGUGAACUGAGGGGUGUAUUGACUGUAUAGUUUGAUUGACUGACGUAUUAGUAUAUUAUUGACAGACAUAUGACUAAAGUGAGUUAAGUUGACUGUUAGGACGUUGAGAGAAAGAACUUUAUGUUUUGAAGUAACUGAAAGAUGGAUUGAAUGGAAUGAGGGGAUAAAUUGUUAGAUUGUAUUGGGAUGUUUACCUUGUAGGUGUCCCACGGGAUCACCAAUUUAUUUUGCACCUUCGGGAGCAUUUGACUGAUAUGUGUUUCUGCAGAACACUAGACUGAUAUGUACGUCCCUCGGGGCGUUAGACUGAUAUGUACGUUCCUCGGGGCGUUAGACUGAGAUGUGUAUCCUACGGGAUCACAAGACUGCGACUGUACAGGGUGUCCCAAUAGAACUUUAACAAUUUAUUUUCCCCUGACGAGACCAGUAGAGGGUCUCUUACUGAGUAUUGUUAUACUCACCCUUCUUAUGUUUAAUUUUCAGGCAAAGGAAAUAAAGGUGGCAAACCGGCGAGGGGCAGGAAGGAAGCGUGAUUGCCAUAGGAAAUGUGUCAUUUUGCUUCCGCUUAUGGUUUCUUUUGAGGUUUAAGAUGUACUAAAACUUAGUUUACAAACUUUUAUUUGUAAAUAGUGUUAUUUUUAAGUUUUCUUGAAUAUUUGAAAAUCAGGCCUUACAUAAAUUGUUUUUAAAUUGACUUACGUUUCAUUUUGUAUCAACCAAAGUCUUUUGUUAAAAAUUAAUGACCUCGACUUACCUAUAAAAGUUGGGUCGUUACAGAUAUAUAUUGAAAUUCAACUAUAAAUUAUGUAGAACUAUAUGUCACUAAAUAUUUAUGUUGUAAAUAAGGUGUAUCUAUAUAUUAAAUCACAUCAUAAACAUAUUAUAAUUUACGAGUAUAUUAUAGUAUAUAUUGUUCAUUUAAAAAAUAUAUGACAAAUAGAAGGUAUAUAAUUAUACGAAGUGAGAAUAUGUAUGUAUGAUAUUCUCACUGCAUAUAUAUAUAUACACUAAGAAUGUGUAUUUUACUGUUUUAGUAGUAUUUACUAUAUAAAUAUAUAUUUUAAAAUAUUAAUUAUAAAUGAAUAUAUAGUUUACUACAUGUUGUUACAACAUACUUAAGAUAUAAAUGUUUAUAUGACUAACAACAUAAUAUUACUAUAAGAUAAACAAAAAAAUAAAGAACAGAUUGAAUUGAAAAAUAUUUUCGAUUACUGUAUGUCACUAUAUAUGUCUGAUUGUAUAUAUCUCUAAGCAAUAUUACAUAAUGAGGUAGUAUAUAUGUAAACAAAUCACAUAAUAUAUAUGUAUUAUGGAGUAGUAUAAAUGUAAUUGUUGAGCAAGAAAUUUCAACCAAUGAAAUUACACCACGUCGUCGCACCCAAGUUGUGAUGAUUAUAAUUUGAUUGGAUUUGGGUAGUCAAGUUUUCCAACCCAAUUCAAGCCCCUGAUAAAAAAUCAGGCCAAACAAAGGGGCCUAAGCCCACUAAGAAAAUGGGCCCAAGCCCAAGUCCAAGCUCAACAACUCAACAAGAAAAUGGGUCCAAAGCCCACAUAAAGUCCACAAAUUUUCUCUAUAAGUAGACCUUUGUCAUUCAUUCGAGAGAUCUUUUGUUGAAGGAAGAAAUGAAGCUCUGAAGUACUGAAGCUUUGAAGAAUUGAAGAUUCAAACUUCUAUAGAGCUCUCAAGACGUGCAAGUUUUUAUCAACUUCGAGAUCAUCGUCUUCUGAAAUAUUGAAGACUUGGAAGAUCAAAAUUUCCUUGAAUUCCAGAAGACUGAAGCUGAAAUAGACCGAACCAUUUAAAUUCGGUUUGGACUAUUUGAGACAGCAACAAACUGUGUUUUUUGUUUUGUACAUAAAUGGUGUGGUUUGAUUCGGUUUUAACAAGCGGUUCAAUUUAUACCGUUUAGACUUGAUCUUAUAUAAUGUGAAAUUAUUUUUUUUUCUUUGAAUUUUUAUCUAAGUGUACUCAAAUUGUAUACCAUGUUACAAAAUUAAUUGCAAUAAAUUUUUUAAAAUUUUCAAAAAUAUCAUAAAUUGACUAAUAUUUUAUACAAAUAUAGAGUAAAAAUGACCAAUUUACUCUUUUUAUUAUUAAUAAUAUAUUAAAAAUAAAAAGAAAAGUGAACCACGUUUAAGAUUUUCAUUUAUUAAAUAUUCUAUGAAAAUAUGGAUUAAAUUCUAUUAAAGUAAUAUUAUGUAAUGCCCAAAGAAAAGGUAAAUAUAUAUAUAUAUAUAUAUAUAUAUAUAUAUAUAUAUAUAUAUAUAUUACUUUUAUUUUAAUAUUAAAAAAUUUCUUUAUUUUUUUUCUCUUCUUUUCUUCUUUUUCUUUUUCUUUUCUUUUCUCCCAUCUUCUUCCCCGUGCGACCGCGACCCGUAUCCAUCUUCUCCACUCCGUUCUCCAUCUCCGUUCGCGAAGCAGCCUUGCAGCAGCCGCCGCGUAACUGUCUGAUCCAGAUCUGCGUCGCAGCCCAGAAACCGCCGCCCUUAUUUUCUUUCCGGUCGUUUUCUUUCUCCUUCGGAUCGAAACCGCCACGCCCAUCCACCUGUAACUGUCGUUGCUCUUCCGCCUCUGCCCAGUUUUGCCGCGCAACACCUGUCUCCGUCUAAGCCAAUCCAGCCGCCGUCUCUAUCUCCGUUCGCGAGGCAAAUCGCACGCCUCAGUCACAAACAGCCUCGCCGACGCAGGUCACGCCGCAUCGCACGAGUUCGGCUACGUUACCGGGCUACUCCCGUCUGCGCGUAACUGCUGUUGAACGUCCGAACCAUUCUGCCUUCGUCGAUACCCGCUGUCCAUUUACGAAUUGUGGACCGAUUCGCGUGCAGAUUUGUUUGCACGAUUUCUUUUGUGUAGAUCCUGCUGCGGCAACUUCUAUUUUAACGUCGAUUGUCAAAGUCUUGUUAUAAGUUAUUGGUAAGGAUGAGAUUGUUGGGUAAUAAGGUUUUACAUUUGUAAAUACAUUAAGAUGUGAUGUUUGUUUAAUUGGUUGAAUUGAUGUUUGUUCUUGAAGGCGACAUCGGUUAUUUGGAGUUAGUGUCCUUGAGUUACGCCUUAAGCUUUGUUGGAAUUCGAUUCUUUACUCUUUGGGGUUUGUUUGUUGGAAUUAGUUCGACCAAGAAAUUUUACAUAAAAUCGAGGUAAGGGAUUUUCUACUGGACUCAAUUGUGAUUGUGAACUGUGAUUGUGAACUGUAUGUGUGUUGAAUGUAUACUGUGGGUUGACUGAAAAUAUAUAUGAAUUGAAGUAGACUUGACGUUGAAUGUAUGUCGUGAUUGUCAUGGAAUCUAUGUAUAAAUGUGGGUAUGUGGACAGGACGGAGAUUGUAGAUUGUGUUUGUAUGAGAUUCUCGUUUAGAUUGGGUGUAUGAUUACGCUAAAGUAUGACUGUGUGCUGGUGAACUAAGGGGUGCAUUGACUGUAUAGUGGAUUGACUGAUGUAUUAGCAUAUUAUUGACAGACAUAUGACUGUAGUAAAAUAAGUUGACUGUUAGGAUGUUGAAAGAAAGAACUUUGUGACUUGAAGUAACUGAAAGAUGGGUUGAAUAGAAUGAGGGGAAAAUUGUUAGAUUGUAUUGGGAUGUUUACCUGGUAGGUGUCCCACGGGAUCACCAAUUUAUUGUGCACCUUCGGGAGCAUUUGACUGAUAUGUGUUUCUACAGAACACUAGACUGAUAUGUACGUCCCUCGGGGCGUUAGACUGAGAUGUGUAUCCUACGGGAUCACAAGACUGCGACUGUACAGGGUGUCCCAAUAGAACUUUAACAAUUUAUUUUCCCCUGACGAGACCAGUAGAGGGUCUCUUACUGAGUAUUUAAAUACUCACCCUUCUUAUGUUUAAUUUUCAGGCAAAGGUAAUAAAGGCGGCAAACAGGCGAGGGGUAGGAAGGAAGCGUGAUGCCAUAGGAAACGUGUUUUUGCUUCCACUUAUGGGUUCUUGUGAGGUUUAAAAUGAAUUGAAAUUUAGUUUACAAACGUUUGUUGUAAAUAGUAUUAUUUUAUGUUUUCUUGAAUGUUUAAAAAUCAGGCCUGACUUGAAGAUGUUUUUUUUAAAUUGCUUACGUUUUGUUUUAUAUUAAUCAAAGUCUUUUAUUUGUAAAAAACUAAUAACGACCUCGACUUACUUAGAAAAGUUGGGUCGUUACAGUUGGUAUCAGAGCCUAAGUUUUAGGUUCUGUAGACUGACUUAUGAUGUAAGUCUAUGUUUUUGUUUUCCUAUGGCUAACACGACCCUUCGUAUCUCGUCAUGUAUGCUUGAUGCUUAUAUGUAUGGUUUAUUUGCAUGACCUUGCCUAAAUUAAACUAGAUUGCAUGACGAUAAAGACUUGCUUAUGCGUAUGAUUAAGAUUUUGUUAAAGAGUGUUGUUGGUGGAUAAUAGGAAUUAUGCCGCCAAGGGAAGGUGUACGUAGAGGAGGUCGUAGAGGCCGAGGUAGAGGAGUAGGAGGCCGAGGUAGAGGAGCAGGUCGUAAUCAGCCUACUGAGGGUCAAGCUGAACAGCGAAUUCCUGCUGCACCCGUGACUCACGUUGAGUUUGAUGCACUGUCUGCUCACAUGGAGCAGAGGUUUACAGAACUUAUGACAGCUAUAGCUCAAAACCAGCAGGCACCUGCGGUUCCACCUGCACCUGUAGUUCCCCCUGCACCAGCAGCCCCUCCUGCACAAGAAUUACCGAACCAACUUUCUGCUGAGGCGAAACAUUUGAGGGACUUUCGGAAGUAUGACCCUCAGACGUUUGAUGGGUCACUGGAGGAUCCUACUAAAGCUGAAAUGUGGUUGUCCUCUGUGGAAACCAUAUUUAAUUACAUGAGAUGUCGCGAGGAGCACAGAGUUCAGUGUGCUGCUUUUCUACUAAGGGACAGAGGCAUUAUCUGGUGGAGGACUACAAUGCGCAUGCUAGGUGGAGAUGUGAGGCAAAUUACCUAGGAUCAGUUUAAGGACUGCUUCUAUACCAAGUUUUUCUCGGCUAACCUUAGAGAUGCCAAAAGCCAGGAAUUCUUGGAGUUAAAGCAAGGAUAUAUGACAGUCGAGGAGUACGACCAGGAGUUUGAUAUGCUGUCACGUUUUGCCCCUGAGCUUGUUAGUAAUGAGCAGGCUAGAGCUGAUAGGUUCGUCAAGGGAUUGAGAUAUGAAAUUAGGGGCUUUGUGCGAGCACUAAAGCCCACUACCCAAGCUGAAGCACUGCGUCGGGCAGUGGAUAUGAGCGUUGGGAAGGAUGAAAUACAGCCAAGGAGCUUUGAUAAGGGAUCGUCGUCGGGUCAAAAGAGAAAAGUAGAGCAGAGAACUGUAGGAGUUCCUCAGAGGAACUUGAGACCAGGCGAUUCCUUUUCGCAGUUUCCAGCAGAGUUCUGGCGGUGCAGGAGACACUACUCGAGAGAGGCCAGUAUGUAAUACGUGUGGGAAACGCCACCUGGGUCGUUGUUUGAUGGGAACGAGAGUCUGUUAUAAGUGCAAGCAAGAGGGACACAUGGCUGAUAGGUGUCCCUUGAGAUCUACUGGGGCUGGAUCGAGCAGUCAGGGAGAGAGACCUCCACAGCGGGGUACAAUCUUUGCCACUAAUAGAUCAGAGGCAGAGAAGGCCGGCACAGUAGUGACAGGUACAUUACCAGUGUUAGGGCAUUUUGCCUUGACCUUGUUUGACUCGGGAUCUUCUCAUUCAUUUAUUUCAUCGCUUUUUGUGACGCAUGCAUGCUUAGAGGUGGAACCCUUAGACUAUGUUUUGUCAGUGUCUACACCGUCUGGAGAAAUUAUGUUGUCUAAGGAAAAGAUUAAAGCAUGUGAAAUUGAGAUAGCUGGUCGUGUGCUGGACGUAACCUUGUUGGUAUUAGAUAUGCGUGACUUUGAUGUAAUUUUAGGUAUGGAUUGGCUAGCUACUAAUCAUGCUAGUAUUGAUUGUUCUCGUAAGGAAGUUGUGUUCAGUCCCCCUACUGCAUCUAGCUUUAAAUUCAAGGGGUAGGAACAGUAGUACUGCCUAAAGUAAUCUCAGCUAUGAAAGCUAGUAAACUACUCAACCAGGGUACUUGGAGUAUUUUGGCAAGUGUGGUGGAUACUAGGGAAGGUGAGACUUCUUUAACUUCAGAACCUGUGGUAAGAGACUACCCAGAUGUAUUUCCAAAAGAUCUUCCAGGACUACCGCCACAUAGAGAGGUUGAUUUUGCCAUUGAGUUGGAGCCAAACACUACUCCUAUUUCUAGAGCCCCUUAUAGGAUGGCUCCUGCUGAGUUGAAAGAACUGAAGGUACAGUUACAGGAAUUGCUUGACAAAGGCUUUAUUCGACCUAGUGUGUCACCUUGGGGUGCACCAGUAUUGUUUGUGAAGAAGAAGGAUGGGUCGAUGCGUCUUUGCAUUGACUAUAGAGAGUUGAAUAAAGUAACAGUCAAGAACAGAUAUCCUUUACCCAGAAUCGAUGAUUUGUUCGAUCAGUUACAGGGAGCCACGGUGUUCUCUAAGAUUGACUUACGGUCAGGUUAUCACCAGUUGAGGAUUAGAGACCGUGAUAUUCCUAAGACUGCUUUUCGUUCGAGGUAUGGACAUUAUGAAUUCAUAGUAAUGUCUUUUGGUUUGACUAAUGCACCUGCUGUAUUUAUGGAUUUGAUGAACAGGGUGUUUAAGGAUUUCUUAGACACUUUUGUGAUAGUCUUCAUUGAUGAUAUUUUGGUUUAUUCCAAGACUGAAGCCGAACAUGAGGAACACUUACAUAAGGUGUUAGAGACUCUUCGAGUCAAUAAACUGUAUGCUAAGUUCUCUAAGUGCGAAUUUUGGUUGAAGCAGGUGGCUUUUCUUGGUCAUGUGGUUUCCAGUGAGGGAGUUUCAGUAGACCCUGCAAAGAUAGAAGCGGUUACCAGUUGGUCUCGACCCUCUACAGUUAGUGAGGUUCGUAGUUUUCUGGGUUUAGCAGGGUACUACCGGAGGUUUGUGGAGGAUUUUUCACGUUUGGCUACUCCCUUGACUCAGUUGACAAGGAAGGGAACUCCGUUUGUUUGGAGUCCAGCUUGUGAGGAUAGUUUUCAGAACCUUAAGCAAAGGUUAGUUACUGCACCGGUCCUUACUGUACCAGAUGGAUCUGGAAGUUUUGUGAUUUACAGUGAUGCUUCCAAGAAAGGACUGGGUUGUGUUUUGAUGCAGAAAGGUAAGGUGGUUGCUUAUGCCUCUCGUCAGUUGAAGAGUCACGAGCAGAACUACCCCACACAUGAUUUGGAGUUGGCAGCAGUGGUUUUUGCAUUGAAGAUAUGGAGACAUUACUUGUACGGUGAAAAGAUACAAAUCUUUACUGACCAUAAGAGCCUAAAGUACUUCUUCACUCAGAAGGAGUUGAAUAUGAGACAGCGAAGGUGGCUCGAGUUGGUAAAAGAUUAUGACUGUGAGAUAUUGUACCAUCCUGGUAAGGCGAAUGUGGUGGCUGAUGCUCUUAGUAGAAAAGUAUCACAUUCGGCAGCACUCAUUACUAGACAGGUACCAUUGCAUCGAGACUUGGAGAGAGCUGAGAUUGCAGUGUCUGUGGGGAGAGUCACCUCACAGCUAGCUCAAUUAACGGUGCAACCAACACUGAGACAGAAGAUUGUUGAUGCUCAGAGUAAUGAUCCUUAUUUGAUGGAGAGACGUCGCCUUGUUGAAACAGGGCAGAUUGAUGAGUUCUCCAUAUCCUCUGAUGGUGGGUUGAUGUUUGAGAGACGUUUAUGUGUGCCAGCGAACAGUACAGUUAAGAUUGACUUACUAGAUGAAGCCCAUAAUUCCUCAUUUUCCAUGCAUCAUGGUAGCACGAAAAUGUAUCAGGAUCUAAAACGAUUUUAUUGGUGGCGGAAUAUGAAAAGGGAAGUGGCGGAAUUUGUUAGUAAGUGUCUAGUAUGUCAGCAAGUUAAGGCACCUAGACAGAAACCAGCAGGUUUGUUACAACCCUUAAGUGUGCCAGAGUGGAAGUGGGAGAAUGUGUCGAUGGAUUUUAUUUCAGGGCUGCCUAAGACCCUGAAGGGUUUCACAGUGAUUUUGGUUGUCAUAGACAGGCUUACGAAAUCGGCACAUUUUGUACCAGGAAAAUCCACUUAUACUGCUAGUAAGUGGGCAGAGUUGUAUUUAACUGAGAUUGUGAGACUGCAUGGAGUGCCUGUAUCGAUUGUUUCUGAUAGGGAUGCACGGUUUACUUCCAAGUUUUGGAAGGGACUUCAGACUGCUAUGGGUACGAGAUUGGAUUUCAGUACAGCCUUUCAUCCACAGACUGAUGGUCAAACUGAACGUUUGAACCAAGUUUUAGAGGAUAUGCUACGAGCUUGUGUUAUAGAGUUUCCAGGUAGUUGGGACUCUCAUCUACAUUUGAUGGAGUUUGCUUAUAACAACAGUUUCCAGGCUACCAUCGGUAUGGCGCCAUUUGAAGCUUUGUAUGGUAAAUGUUGUAGAACCCCUAUUUGUUGGGGUGAGGUUGGUGAACAUAGGUUGAUGGGACCUGAAUUAGUUUGGUCUACUAAUGAGGCUAUUCAAACGAUUAGAACGCGUAUGCAAACAGCGCAGAGUAGACAAAAGAGUUAUGCAGAUGUACGGCGAAAAAGACCUUAAGUUCGAUGUGGGAGAAAAGGUAUUCUUGAAGGUAGCACCAAUGAAGGGUGUUAUGCGUUUUGAGAAGAAAGGGAAGUUAAGUCCUCGAUUUGUUGGACCAUUUGAGAUCUUAGAGAGGGUUGGUGUUGUGGCGUAUCGCUUGGCAUUACCACCAUCACUCUCUGCAGUUCAUAAUGUUUUCCAUGUUCCGAUGUUGAGGAAGUAUGUGGCCGAUACAUCUCAUGUAGUGGACUAUGAACCCUUGGAGAUUGAUGAGCAUUUGAGCUAUGUAGAACAACCUGUGGAGAUUCUGGCUAGAGAGGUAAAGAUGCUUCGUAAUAGAAGCAUUCCAUUAGUAAAGGUUUUGUGGCGGAAUCAUCGAAUUGAAGAGGCGACAUGGGAGCGAGAGGAAGAAAUGAGGACUCGUUAUCCAGAGUUAUUUCAGGAUUAAAACUUUCGAGGACGAAAGUUUCUUAAGGAGGGAAGAAUGUAAUGCCCAAAGAAAAGGUAAAUAUAUAUAUAUAUAUAUAUAUAUAUAUAUAUAUAUAUAUAUAUAUAUAUAUAUUAUUUUUAUUUUAAUAUUAAAAAAUUUCUUUAUUUUUUUUCUCUUCUUUUCUUCUUUUUCUUUUUCUUUUCUUUUCUCCCAUCUUCUUCCCCGUGCGACCGCGACCCCAUCCAUCUUCUCCACUCCGUUCUCCAUCUCCGUUCGCGAAGCAGCCUUGCAGCAGCCGCGGCGUAACUGUCUGAUCCAGAUCUGCGUCGUAGCCCAGAAACCGCCGCCCUUAUUUUCUUUCCGGUCGUUUUCUUUCUCCUUCGGAUCGAAACCGCCGCGCCCAUCCACCUGUAACUGCCAUUGCUCUUCCGCCUCUGCCCAGUUUUGUCGCGCAACACCUGUCUCCGUCGAAGCCAACCCAGCCGCCGUCUUUAUCUCCGUUCGCGAGGUAAAUCGCACGCCUUAGUCACGAACAGCCUCGCCGGUAUUAGCAUAUUAUUGACAGACAUAUGACUGUAGUAAAAUAAGUUGACUGUUAGGAUGUUGAAAGAAAGAACUUUGUGACUUGAAGUAACUGAAAGAUGGGUUGAAUGGAAUGAGGGGAUAAAUUGUUAGAUUGUAUUGGGAUGUUUACCUUGUAGGUGUCCCACGGGAUCACCAAUUUAUUGUGCACCUUCGGGAGCAUUUGACUGAUAUGUGUUUCUGCAGAACACUAGACUGAUAUGUACGUCCCUUGGGGCGUUAGACUGAUAUGUACGUCCCUCGGGGCAUUAGACUGAGAUGUGUAUCCUACGGGAUCACAAGACUGCGACUGUACAGGGUGUCCCAAUAGAACUUUAACAAUUUAUUUUCCCCUGACGAAACCAGUAGAGGGUCUCUUACUGAGUAUUUAAAUACCCACCCUUCUUAUAUAUGUUUAAUUUUCAGGCAAAGGUAAUAAAGGCGACAAACAGGCGAGGGGCAGGAAGGAAGCGUGAUGCCAUAGGAAACGUGUUUUUGCUUCCACUUAUGGGUUCUUGUGAGGUUUAAAAUGAAUUGAAAUUUAGUUUACAAACGUUUGUUGUAAAUAGUAUUAUUUUAUGUUUUCUUGAAUGUUUAAAAAUCAGGCCUGACUUGAAGAUGUUUUUUUUUAAAUUGCUUACGUUUUGUUUUAUAUUAAUCAAAGUCUUUUAUUUGUAAAAAAAUAAUAACGACCUCGACUUACUUAGAAAAGUUGGGUCGUUACAUAUUAAUAAUAAAAAUUGUCCUUAGUUUGCUUUUUAUGAUUUUAUUAAAAAAUUGUCCUUUUUUAUUCUGCAUUCUUUUUCAUAUAUUUUAUAUAAUUAUAGUAUAUAUUGAAUAAUAUAAUGUAUAUUUUAUUAGUGAAAUGUUCUUAUAUCAAUUUAUUUAUUUAUUUUAUUUAAAUAUUCAUAUCUUACAUAGUAAAUAAUACAUUAUGUUUGAAAUAAUAUUAAUUAUACAUGAAAGUUGUUUAUGUUUACAAGAACAUGAAUGAGAAAUAAUUAUGAUGAGUAUAUGUAAUAUAUGUCAUUAAAAUAUUUGUUAUUCUCUAGUAUAUGUAAUAGGGGUGUUCAAAAUGAAGUUGAAAACUGAAUCGAAUCACUAAUCGAACCGAAAUCGAAUGCAUAUGGUUCGGUUCGAUUCGAUUUCUAUUUCAAAAAAACCACAUAAAAUUCGGUUCGGUUCAGUUUAAGAUGUUAAGAACCGAUUCUCAAACCGAACUGAAUUGCUUUAUUUUAAAAACUAAAUAUAUAUAUAUAUAUAUAUAUAUAUAUAUGUGUGUGUUAAUAAUAAGACUUUUUUAGACUUCAAAGCGGGUAUAGAGGCAAAAAUCAAUGAGAGGAACGAAAAGGAGAAGAAUGACAUAAUCAAAACGUAAAUGACAAGUUGUCUUGACGAAGUUUGCAUGACUGUAGGACUUUUAUUCAUCUUAGGGGGAUUUUAAAACUUCUAUGUGUUGUUGGACUUUCAAAUUUCAAUGUUUGAAACAUCUAUGUCUGUAAUUUUGAAAUUUCUAUGUUUAUAACUUUGUAUAAGCCGUUCGGUUUUGAUUUGAUUUUAUUUAUGUAUAUGUGGUUCGGUUUUCAUUCGGUUUGGCAUAGAUGAGCGGUUCGGUUCGGUUUCAAUGAAGAUUUUUUUUAUCAUUUUGCGGUUCGAUGCGGUUUUAGCUUCAAACCGAACCGCGAACACCACUAAUAUGUAAUGUUGAGAUCAACUGAAUAUGUUUGUAAUGUAGGGACUUUGAUGAAAGAAUUGAAGAUUCAGGAAAUUGUAUGAAAAAAAAUGGUUGAAUGUUAAAUUGACUUAUGAAUAGUGUAUAUGAAACAAUACAUUAUAUAUUUUUAUGAAUGAAAUGUUAUGCAAUCAAUUUGUUAAACUGGUUUAUUUAUUUUAUUUCAAAUAUUUAUUUUAUAUGUAAUAAUAAUAAUAAGUUAUGUUUGAAACAGCAGUAUAAGGAUAUAUCAUAAUAUAUAUUGUUCAUUUAAGGUUAGUAAGAAUUUUAUAUUUUGUAUUUGAAAUAUACUAUGAUAUAUUGAGUACAUCAAAGAUGACAUCAUUUAUGUACUAUUGAAAAUAUGAAGUAGUAUAUAUAUGUAACAAAUCACAUAAGAUAUAUGUAUCAUGUACUAGUAUAUACGUCAUUAUUUAUAUAUACACACCUAAUGAAAAAAAGUAGAGUGUGUGGGACCCACGUAUAUAAAUAAUGAGAAAAUAAAAAAUGUUGGCCCAAUGUAAUAUAUAUAUAAAGUAAAAAAUAAACUAUGUAGGGUCCACUGCAUGAAAAUUGUGUAGGGGUACAAAACUUCACCUCAACUCACCUAUUUUUGUCAAUAGUUUUGCAUUCACCUACUUUUGACAUAUGUUUCAAAAUUUACAUUAUUUUUUAAAAAAGUUCUAUACAUAAUAAAUAAUAACUCGUGAUUGAAACAAGAGUGGUUAUGUAUGAAUGAUAGUAUAUUAAAUAUAAUAAAUUGAAAAAAAUUGAUUGGUACCGUAGAUGAAAAUUUAUGAAAAAAUAUAGAAAUAAAAUAACUAAAUUAAAAACUGAAAUAUGAAUAUUUCAAAUAAAAGUAUAAAUCAACAUACUAAAAGUUUAAUAAUAAGAAAGAAAAAUUAGUUCAAUAAGGAAAGCUUGCAUCUCUUUCGUUUAUGACAACCACAUUUAAAACUUCAUUUUAGAAUGAAUUCUAAUAUUUUUUUGUUGACCAACUGAACGUUUGACAUUCAAUGGGAUGAUGUCAACUUCAACUACUGUAUUAUUGAAUAUAUGCAUUAGUAUGUAUGUAACAAAUCAAAUAAAAUACUAAUCGAAUAUAGAAAAAUAUAAAGAAAAUGAUACAAAACGUGAAGGAAAAAAACUGAACUAUAUAUGUGUCACAAAAUACGUGUUAUUAUAUUUAUAUAAAUGUAUAUAUUGAUAACAUCAACCUGUCUAUGUAGUGAUAUAUAUUGAAAUUCAACUAUAAAAUUAUGUAGAACUAUAUGUCACUAAAUAUUUAUGUUGUAAAUAAGGUGUAUUUAUAUAUUAAAUCACAUCAUAAACAUAUUAUAAUUUACGAGUAUAUUAUAGUAUAUAUUGUUCAUUUAAAAAAUAUAUGACAAAUAGAAGGUAUAUAAUUAUACGAAGUGAGAAUAUGUAUGUAUGAUAUUCUCACUACAUAUUAUAUAUACACUAAGAAUGUGUAUUUUACUGUUUUAGUAGUAUUUACUAUAUAAAUAUAUAUUUUAAAUAUUAAUUAUUAAUGAAUAUAUAGUUUACUACAUGUUGUUACAACAUACUUAAGAUAUAAAUGUUUAUAUGACUAACAACAUAAUAUUACUAUAAGAUAAACAAAAAAAUAAAGAACAGAUUGAAUUGAAAAAUAUUUUCGAUUAUUGUAUGUCACUAUAUAUGUCUGAUUGUAUAUAUCUCUAAGCAAUAUUGUAAUGCCCCAAGAAGAGAGGAAGAAAAAAGAGGAAAAGAAGGAAAGGUAUAUAUAUUAUUUUUUUUCUUUUUUUUCUUUUCUUUUUCUUUUUUUCUUUUCUCUUCUCUUCUCCUCCCGUGCGCCCUUCCCCUUCUCCCCGUUCGCAGCGCAGCAACCGCCGCCGGUCAUCUCCAUCUUUUCUUCUCCUCUCCGCUCCUUCCAGACCCAGCCUCACCGUCGCGUCUCCCCUACUGAAGCCGAACGCCCGAUCUGCCGUCUCCAUUUCCGUUCGCAAAGCAGGACCGCGCCGUUGCUCUUCCGCCGCUGCCCGGUCCAGAUCUGCGUCGCAGCCCAGCAACCGCCGCCGCCGCCCCUAUUUUUCUUUCCGGUCGUUUUCUUCUCUUCUUCGGAUCCACAACUGCCGUUGUAACCGUCGGCCGCCGCGUGACCUCUGCCCAGUUCCGCCGCGCAACACCUGUCUCCGUCGAAGCCAAGCCAGCCGCCAUCCAUUCCUUUCCUUUCUCCUCUGUUUUCAGCACUGUCGCGCGACCGCUAACCGACCCACAUUUAGGAUUUUUGCUGCGAGUUCGACAUUCGUGCGUUGAGGUGUUGGGAGUAUCGUUAGACUCCCUUACAUUCACAAUCAGUUUGUGAAUUGUUGAGGGUUCAGUUCGCCAAUAUUUCGGUGAGUUGGAACUUACGUUGAGGAAAGUAAGUGAGAUAUGUAUCGUGAAAGUAAUUGAAGUUUUGUGUUGUUGUGCUUAGGAUUGUUUCGAGGACGUUAGUUGAUUAAGAAGCUUCCCCAACUUUGAGGUAAGGGACUUUCUACUGGACUCACCUAAAGUUUUUGAGUUGUGUUGGACUGUAUGGAUGAUGAUUAAGAUGUACAUGUUUGGUUGCAGACUAAAUGUUUAGUGUAUGUUGUAUUUGACUGGAAACAUAUAUAUAUACAUUGAUGUGUGAAUUGAUGUGGAUUGCCGAAAGUAUACAUGUGAAUGACUGAAAUUAUGCUUAUGUGUACAUGAUGAUAUUAAUAGAUUGUGUUGUAUAAAGAUUUGGAUGUAAACUAGUGAAUUUAUUUCGGUUGGAUGUGGAUUAUACUGAACUGUGGUUUGUGCUGGUGAACUGAGGGGUGUAUUGACUGUAUAGUUUGAUUGACUGACAUAUUAGUAUAUUAUUGACAGACAUAUGACUAAAGUGAGAUAAGUUGACUGUUAGGACGUUGAGAGAAAGAACUUUAUGUUUUGAAGUAACUGAAAGAUGGAUUGAAUGGAAUGAGGGGAUAAAUUGUUAGAUUGUAUUGGGAUGUUUACCUUGUAGGUGUCCCACGGGAUCACCAAUUUAUUUUGCACCUUCAGGAGCAUUUGACUGAUAUGUGUUUCUGCAGAACACUAGACUGAUAUGUACGUCCCUCGGGGCGUUAGACUGAUAUGCACGUCCCUCGGGGCGUUAGACUGAUAUGUACGUCCUUCGGGGCGUUAGACUGAAAUGUGUAUCCUACGGGAUCACAAGACUGCGACUGUACAGGGUGUCCCAAUAGAACUUUAACAAUUUAUUUUCCCCUGACGAGACCAGUAGAGGGUCUCUUACUGAGUAUUGUUAUACUCACCCUUCUUAUGUUUAAUUUUCAGGCAAAGGAAAUAAAGGUGGCAAACCGGCGAGGGGCAGGAAGGAAGCGUGAUUGCCAUAGGAAAUGUGUCAUUUUGCUUCCGCUUAUGGUUUCUUUUGAGGUUUAAGAUGUACUAAAACUUAGUUUUACAAACUUUUAUUUGUAAAUAGUGUUAUUUUUAAGUUUUCUUGAAUAUUUGAAAAUCAGGCCUGACAUAAAUUGUUUUUAAAUUGACUUACGUUUCAUUUUGUAUCAACCAAAGUCUUUUGUUAAAAAUUAACGACCUCGACUUACCCAGAAAAGUUGGGUCGUUACAAAUAUUACAUAAUGAGGUAGUAUAUAUGUAACAAAUCACAUAAUAUAUAUGUAUUAUGGAGAAGUAUAAAUGUAAUUGUUGAGCAAGAAACUUCAACCAAUGAAAUUACACCACGUCGUCGCACCCAAGUUGUGAUGAUUAUAAUUUGAUUGGAUUUGGGUAGUCAAGUUUUCCAACCCAAUUCAAGCCCCUGAUAAAAAAUCAGGCCAAACAUAGGGGCCUAAGCCCACUAAGAAAAUGGGCCCAAGCCCAAGUCCAAGCUCAACAACUCAACAAGCAAAUGGGUCCAAGCCCACAUAAAGUCAACAAAUUUUCUCUAUAAGUAGAGACCUUUGUCAUUCAUUCGAGAGAUCUUUUGUUUAAGGAAGAAAUGAAGCUCUGAAGUACUGAAGCUUUGAAGAAUUGAAGAUUCAAACUUCUAUAGAGCUCUCAAGACGUGCAAGUUAUUAUCAACUUUGAGAUCAUCGUCUUCUGAAAUAUUGAAGACUUGGAAGAUCAAAAUUUCCUUGAAUUCCAGAAGACUGAAGCUGAAAUAGACCGAACCAUUUAAAUUCGGUUUGGACUAUUUGAGACAGCAACAAACUGUGUUUUUUGUUUUGUACAUAAAUGGUGUGGUUUGAUUCGGUUUUAACAAGCGGUUCAAUUUAUACCGUUUAGACAUGAUCUUAUAUAAUGUGAAAUUAUUUUUUUUUCUUUGAAUUUUUAUCUAAGUGUACUCAAAUUGUAUACCAUGUUACAAAAUUGCAAUAAAUUUUUUAAAAUUUUCAAAAAUAUCAUAAAUUGACUAAUAUUUUAUACAAAUAUAGAGUAAAAAUGACCAAUUUACUCUUUUUAUUAUUAAUAAUAUAUUAAAAAUAAAAAGAAAAGUGAACCACGUUUAAGAUUUUCAUUUAUUAAAUAUUCUAUGAAAAUAUGGAUUAAAUUUUAUUAAAGUAAUAUUAAUAAUAAAAAUUGUCCUUAGUUUGCUUUUUAUGAUUUUAUUAAAAAAUUGUCCUUUUUUUAUUUUGCAUUCUUUUUCAUAUAUUUUAUAUAAUUAUAGUAUAUAUUGAAUAAUAUAAUGUAUAUUUUAUUAGUGAAAUGUUCUUAUAUCAAUUUAUUUAUUUAUUUUAUUUAAAUAUUCAUAUCUUACGUAGUAAAUAAUACAUUAUGUUUGAAAUAAUAUUAAUUAUAUAUGAAAGUUGUUUAUGUUUACAAGAACAUGAAUGAGAAAUAAUUAUGAUGAGUAUAUGUAAUAUAUGUCAUUAAAAUAUUUGUUAUUCUCUAGUAUAUGUAAUAGGGGUGUUCAAAAUGAAGUUGAAAACUGAAUCGAAUCACUAAUCGAACCGAAAUCGAAUGCAUAUGGUUCGGUUCGAUUCGAUUUCUAUUUCAAAAAAACCACAUAAAAUUCGGUUCGGUUCAGUUUAAGAUGUUAAGAACCGAUUCUCAAACCGAACUGAAUUGCUUUAUUUUAAAAACUAAAUAUAUAUAUAUAUAUAUAUAUAUAUAUAUAUAUAUGUGUGUGUGUGUUAAUAAUAAGACUUUUUUAGACUUCAAAGCGGGUAUAGAGGCAAAAAUCAAUGAGAGGAACGAAAAGGAGAAGAAUGACAUAAUCAAAACGUAAAUGACAAGUUGUCUUGACGAAGUUUGCAUGACUGUAGGACUUUUAUUCAUCUUAGGUGGAUUUUAAAACUUCUAUGUGUUGUUGGACUUUCAAAUUUCAAUGUUUGAAACAUCUAUGUCUGUAACUUUGUAUAAGCCGUUCGGUUUUGAUUUUAUUUUAUUUAUGUAUAUGUGGUUCGAUUUUCUUUGGCAUAGAUGAGCGGUUCGGUUCGGUUUCAAUGAAGAUUUUUUUUAUCAUUUUGCGGUUCGAUGCGGUUUUAGCUUCAAACCGAACCGCGAACACCACUAAUAUGUAAUGUUGAGACCAACUGAAUAUGUUUGUAAUGUAGGGACUUUGAUGAAAGAAUUGAAGAUUCAGGAAAUUGUAUGAAAAAAAAUGGUUGAAUGUUAAAUUGACUUAUGAAUAGUGUAUAUGAAACAAUACAUUAUAUAUUUUAUGAAUGAAAUGUUAUGCAAUCAAUUUGUUAAACUGGUUUAUUUAUUUUAUUUGAAAUAUUUAUUUUAUAUGUAAUAAAUAAUAAGUUAUGUUUGAAACUGCAGUAUAAGGAUAUAUCAUAAUACAUAUUGUUCAUUUAAGGUUAGUAAGAAUUUUAUAUUUUGUAUUUGAAAUAUAAUAUGAUAUAUUGAGUACAUCAAAGAUGACAUCAUUUAUGUACUAUUGAAAAUAUGAAGUAGUAUAUAUAUGUAACAAAUCACAUAAGAUAUAUGUAUCAUGUACUAGUAUAUACGUCAUUAUUUAUAUAUACACACCUAAUGAAAAAAAGUAGAGUGUGUGGGACCCACGUAUAUAAAUAAUGAGAAAAUAAAAAAUGUUGGCCCAAUGUAAUAUAUAUAUAAAGUAAAAAAUAAACUAUGUAGGGUCCACUGCAUGAAAAUUGUGUAGGGGUACAAAACUGCACCUCAACUCAUCUAUUUUUGUCAAUAGUUUUGCAUUCACCUACUUUUGACAUAUGUUUCAAACUUUACAUUAUUUUUUAAAAAAAGUUCUAUACAUAAUAAAUAAUAACUCGUGAUUGAAACAAGAGUGGUUAUGUAUGAAGGAUAGUAUAUUAAAUAUAAUAAAUUGAAAAACUUUGAUUGGUACCGUAGAUGAAAAUUUAUGAAAAAAUAUAGAAAUAAAAUAACUAAAUUAAAAACUGAAAUAUGAAUAUUUCAAAUAAAAGUAUAAAUCAACAUACUAAAAGUUUAAUAAUAAGAAAGAAAAAUUAGUUCAAUAAGGAAAGCUUGCAUCUCUUUCGUUUAUGACAACCACAUUUAAAACUUCAUUUUAGAAUGAAUUCUAAUAUUUUUUUGUUGACCAACUGAACGUUUGACAUUCAAUGGGAUGAUGUCAACUUCAACUACUGUAUUAUUGAAUAUAUGCAUUAGUAUGUAUGUAACAAAUCAAAUAAAAUACUAAUCGAAUAUAGAAAAAUAUAAAGAAAAUGAUACAAAACGUGAAGAAAAAAAACUGAACUAUAUAUGUGUCACAAAAUACGUGUUAUUAUAUUUAUAUAAAUGUAUAUAUUGAUAACAUCACCUGUCUAUGUAGUGAUAUAUAUUGAAAUUCAACUAUAAAUUAUGUAGAACUAUAUGUCACUAAAUAUUUAUGUUGUAAAUAAGGUGUAUCUAUAUAUUAAAUCACAUCAUAAACAUAUUAUAAUUUACGAGUAUAUUAUAGUAUAUAUUGUUCAUUUAAAAAAUAUAUGACAAAUAGAAGGUAUAUAAUUAUACGAAGUGAGAAUAUGUAUGUAUGAUAUUCUCACUGCAUAUUAUAUAUACACUAAGAAUGUGUAUUUUACUGUUUUAGUAGUAUUUACUAUAUAAAUAUAUAUUUUAAAUAUUAAUUAUUAAUGAAUAUAUAGUUUACUACAUGUUGUUACAACAUACUUAAGAUAUAAAUGUUUAUAUGACUAACAACAUAAUAUUACUAUAAGAUAAACAAAAAAAUAAAGAACAGAUUGAAUUGAAAAAUAUUUUCGAUUAUUGUAUGUCACUAUAUAUGUCUGAUUGUAUAUAUCUCUAAGCAAUAUUAGAUAAUGAGGUAGUGUAACGACCCAACUUUUCUAAGUAAGUCGAGAUCGUAAAUUUUUAACAAAUAAAGACUUUGAUUAAUAUAAAACAAAACGUAAACAAUUAAAAAAAAACAUUUUCAAGUCAGGCCUGAUUUUUAAACAUUCAAGAAAACAUAAAAUAAUACUAUUUACAACAAACGUUUGUAAACUAAAUUUCAAUUCAUUUUAAACCUCACAAGAACCCAUAAGCGGAAGCAAAAACACGUUUCCUAUGGCAUCACGUUUCCUUCCUGCCCCUCGCCUGUUUGCCGCCUUUAUUACCUUUGCCUGAAAAUUAAACAUAAGAGGGGUGAGUAUUUAAAUACUCAGUAAGAGACCCUCUACUGGUCUCGUCAGGGGAAAAUAAAUUGUUAAAGUUCUAUUGGGACACCUUGUACAGUCGCAGUCUUGUGAUCCCGUAGGAUACACAUCUCAGUCUAACGCCCCGAGGGACGUACAUAUCAGUCUAACACCCCGAGGGACGUACAUACAGUCUAGUGUUCUGCAGAAACACAUAUCAGUCUAAUGCUCCCGAAGGUGCACAAUAAAUUGGUGAUCCCGUGGGACACCUACAAGGUAAACAUCUCAAUACAAUCUAACAAUUUUCCCCUCAUUCCAUUCAACCCAUCUUUCAGUUACUUCAAGUCACAAAGUUCUUUCUUUCAACAUCCUAACAGUCAACUUAUUUUACUACAGUCAUAUGUCUGUCAAUAAUAUGCUAAUACAUCAGUCAAUCCACUAUACAGUCAAUGCACCCCUCAGUUCACCAGCACACAGUCAUACUUUAGCGUAAUCAUACACCCAAUCUAAACGAGAAUCUCAUACAAACACAAUCUACAAUCUCCGUCCUGUCCACAUACACACAUUUAUAUAUAGAUUCCAUGACAAUCACGACAUACAUUCGACGUCAAGUCUACUUCAAUUCAUAUACAUUCAUAUAUAUUUUCAGUCAACCCACAGUAUACAUUCAACACACAUACAGCUCACAAUCACAGUUCACAAUCACAAUUGAGUCCAGUAGAAAAUCCCUUACCUGGAUCUUUAUGUAAAAUUCCUUAGUCGAACUAACUUCAACAAACAAACCCCAAGAGUAAAGAAUCGAACUCCAACAAAGCUUAAGGCGUAACUCAAGGACACUAACUCCAAAUCACCGAUGUCGCCUUCAAGAACAAAGAUCAAUUCAACCAAUUAAACAACAUCACAUCUUAAUGUAUUUACAAAUGUAAGACCUUUUUACCGAACAAUCUCAUCCUUACCAAUAUCUUGUAACAAGACUUUGACCAUCGACGUUAAAUAGAAGUUGCCGCAGGAUCUACACAAAAGACAUCGUGCAAAACACUUCUGCACGUGAACAGGUCCGCGAUUCGUAAAUGGGACAGCGGGUAUCGACGAAGGCAGAACGGUUCGGACGUUCAACAUCAGUUACGCGCGGACGAGAGUAGCCCGACAACGUAGCCGAACUCGUGCGAUGCGGCGUGACCUGCGUCGGCGAGGCUGUUCGUCUGAGGCGUGAGCGCGUGCGACUUGCCUCGCGGACGGAGAUAGAGACGGCGGUUGGGUUCGGCUUCCACGGAGACAGAAUCGACGAUGGAGACGGCAGAUCGGCGCGCGGGCUGCAGCUGGGCUGCGGCGGGAAGAAAACGAAAGGGAAAGGAUCGGUGGGAGUCGCGGCGCACGGCGGAAGAAGGAAAUAGGGGCGGCGGUUGCUGGGCUGCGACGCAGAUCUGGACUGGGCACGAACGGAAGGAGAAGAGGAACGGAGAUGGCCGGCGGCGGUUGCUGCGCGAACGGAGAGAAGGGGAAGGUGGGUCGCACGACGCACGGGAGGAGAAGAGAAAUAGGGAAAAGAAAAGAAAAAGGAAAAGAAAAACAAAAUAUAUAUAUUUCUUUUUCUUUUCUUUUUAUUUAAAUUAAUUACAAAAUAUAUAUAUAUAUAUAUAUAUAUAUAUAUAUAUAUAUAUAUAUAUAUAAUAUAUAUACCUUUGGGGCAUUACACGUAGUAUAUAUGUAACAAAUCACAUAAUAUAUAUGUAUUAUGGAGUAGUAUAAAUGUAAUUAUUGAGCAAGAAAUUUCAACCAAUGAAAUUACACCACGUCGUCGCACCCAAGUUGUGAUGAUUAUAAUUUGAUUGGAUUUGGGUAGUCAAGUUUUCCAACCCAAUUCAAGCCCCUGAUAAAAAAUCAGGCCAAACAAAGGGGCCUAAGCCCACUAAAAAAAUGGGCCCAAGCCCAAGUCCAAGCUCAACAACUCAACAAGCAAAUGGGUCCAAGCCCACAUAAAGUCCACAAAUUUUCUCUAUAAGUAGAGACCUUUGUCAUUCAUUCGAGAGAUCUUUUGUUGAAGGAAGAAAUGAAGCUCUGAAGUACUGAAGCUUUGAAGAAUUGAAGAUUCAAACUUCUAUAGAGCUCUCAAGACGUGCAAGUUCUUAUCAACUUCGAGAUCAUCGUCUUCUGAAAUAUUGAAGACUUGGAAGAUCAAAAUUUCCUUGAAUUCCAGAAGACUGAAGCUGAAAUAGACCGAACCAUUUAAAUUCGGUUUGGACUAUUUGAGACAGCAACAAACUGUGUUUUUUGUUUUGUACAUAAAUGGUGUGGUUUGAUUCGGUUUUAACAAGCGGUUCAAUUUAUACCGUUUAGACUUGAUCUUAUAUAAUGUGAAAUUAUUUUUUUUCUUUGAAUCUUUAUCUAAGUGUACUCAAAUUGUAUACCAUGUUACAAAAUUGCAAUAAAUUUUUUAAAAUUUUCAAAAAUAUCAUAAAUUGACUAAUAUUUUAUACAAAUAUAGAGUAAAAAUGACCAAUUUACUCUUUUUAUUAUUAAUAAUAUAUUAAAAAUAAAAAGAAAAGUGAACCACGUUUAAGAUUUUCAUUUAUUAAAUAUUCUAUGAAAAUAUGGAUUAAAUUCUAUUAAAGUAAUAUUAAUAAUAAAAAUUGUCCUUAGUUUGCUUUUUAUGAUUUUAUUAAAAAAUUGUCCUUUUUUAUUUUGCAUAACUUUUCAUAUAUUUUAUAUAAUUAUAGUAUAUAUUGAAUAAUAUAAUGUAUAUUUUAUUAGUGAAAUGUUCUUAUAUCAAUUUAUUUAUUUAUUUUAUUUAAAUAUUCAUAUCUUACGUAGUAAAUAAUACAUUAUGUUUGAAAUAAUAUUAAUUAUAUAUGAAAGUUGUUUAUGUUUACAAGAACAUGAAUGAGAAAUAAUUAUGAUGAGUAUAUGUAAUAUACGUCAUUAAAAUAUUUGUUAUUCUCUAGUAUAUGUAAUAGGGGUGUUCAAAAUGAAGUUGAAAACUGAAUCGAAUCACUAAUCGAACCGAAAUCGAAUGCAUAUGGUUCGCUUCGAUUCGAUUUCUAUUUCAAAAAAACCACAUAAAAUUUGGUUCGGUUCAGUUUAAGAUGUUAAGAACCGAUUCUAAAAAAAAACCGAACUGAAUUGCUUUAUUUUAAAAACUAAAUAUAUAUAUGUUAAUAAUAAGACUUUUUUAGACUUCAAAACGGGUAUAGAGGCAAAAAUCAAUGAGAGGAACAAAAAGGAGAAGAAUGACAUAAUCAAAACGUAAAUGACAAGUUGUCUUGACGAAGUUUGUAUGACUGUAGGACUUUUAUUCAUCUUAGGUGGAUUUUAAAAAUUCUAUGUGUUGUUGGACUUUCAAAUUUCAAUGUUUGAAACAUCUAUGUCUGUAAUUUUGAAAUUUCUAUGUUUAUAACUUUGUAUAAGCCGUUCGGUUUUUUGAUUUGAUUUUAUUUAUGUAUAUGUGGUUCGGUUUUCAUUCGGUUUGGCAUAGAUGAGCGGUUCGGUUCGGUUUCAAUGAAGAUUUUUUUUAUCAUUUUGCGGUUCGAUGCGGUUUUAGCUUUAAACCGAAUCGCGAACACCACUAAUAUGUAAUGUUGAGAUCAACUGAAUAUGUUUGUAAUGUAGGGACUUUGAUGAAAGAAUUGAAGAUUCAGAAAAUUUUACGAAAAAAAUGGUUGAAUGUUAAAUUGACUUAUGAAUAGUGUAUAUGAAACAAUACAUUAUAUAUUUUAUGAAUGAAGUGUUAUGCAAUCAAUUUGUUAAACUGGUUUAUUUAUUUUAUUUCAAAUAUUUAUUUUAUAUGUAAUAAAUAAUAAGUUAUGUUUGAAACAGCAGUAUAAGGAUAUAUCAUAAUAUAUAUUGUUCAUUUAAGGUUAGUAAGAAUUUUAUAUUUUGUAUUUGAAAUAUACUAUGAUAUAUUGAGUACAUCAAAGAUGACAUCAUUUAUGUACUAUUGAAAAUAUGAAGUAGUAUAUAUAUGUAACAAAUCACAUAAGAUAUAUGUAUCAUGUACUAGUAUAUACGUCAUUAUUUAUAUAUACACACCUAAUGAAAAAAAGAAGAGUGUGUGGGACCCACGUAUAUAAAUAAUGAGAAAAUAAAAAAUGUUGGCCCAAUGUAAUAUAUAUAUAAAGUAAAAAAUAAACUAUGUAGGGUCCACUGCAUGAAAAUUGUGUAGGGGUACAAAACUUCACCUCAACUCACCUAUUUUUGUCAAUAGUUUUGCAUUCACCUACUUUUGACAUAUGUUUCAAAAUUUACAUUAUUUUUUAAAAAAAGUUCUAUACAUAAUAAAUAAUAACUCGUGAUUGAAACAAGAGUGGUUAUGUAUGAAGGAUAGUAUAUUAAAUAUAAUAAAUUGAAAAACUUUGAUUGGUACCGUAGAUGAAAAUUUAUGAAAAAAUAUAGAAAUAAAAUAACUAAAUUAAAAACUGAAAUAUGAAUAUUUCAAAUAAAAGUAUAAAUCAACAUACUAAAAGUUUAAUAAUAAGAAAGAAAAAUUAGUUCAAUAAGGAAAGCUUGCAUCUCUUUCGUUUAUGACAACCACAUUUAAAACUUCAUUUUAGAAUGAAUUCUAAUAUUUUUUUGUUGACCAACUGAACGUUUUACAUUCAAUGGGAUGAUGUCAACUUCAAUUACUGUAUCAUUGAAUAUAUGCAUUAGUAUGUAUGUAACAAAUCAAAUAAAAUACUAAUCGAAUAUAGAAAAAUAUAAAGAAAAUGAUACAAAACGUGAAGGAAAAAAACUGAACUAUAUAUGUGUCACAAAAUACGUGUUAUUAUAUUUAUAUAAAUGUAUAUAUUGAUAACAUCACCUGUCUAUGUAGUGAUAUUGUAAAGUCCCAAAGGUAAAAAUAUAUAUAUAUACAUUUUUUUUAAUUUUUAUAUAUAUAUAUAUAUUUUUUCUUUUAUUUUCUUUUUCUUUUCUUUUCUCUCUUCUCCUUCCUCCCCGUGCGUUCUCCUUCCCGUUCGCAGCAACCGCCGCCCCAUCUAUUCUCUUUUCGUUCGUGCGCAGCCGCAGUCCAACCGCCGCCCCUUCUUUUCUUUUCUUCCUCUUUCGUUCGACGUCGACGGUCAGGCCAAGCCAAACCGCAGCUGCAACCGUCGGCCGCCGUCUUUGUUGCGAAGCAAGGCCGCUGCGUGACCUUCCGCCCACCGCCGUGUGACCCUCUGUCCAGUUCUGCACCGCUAGAUCGAGCCGUCCACCGGUUUCGUCUAUUUCUGUCUCCGUUCACCGAAGCCGAACCCAACCGCCACCCUUUCUUUUCUUCUUCGAUCCAAAAACUGCCGCUGCAACGCGUCAGCCGCUGCGUGACCUCUGCCCAGCACCGCCGCGCAGCCUCUGUCUCUGCGCCGUUACCCAGAUCUGCGUCGCCGUGCCCCGUCCUAAUCGUCUCUGUCUCUGUCGAAGUUUUGUUGGUAAGAUUGAAGUCAUGAAAUUGUAGUCGUUUCCAAAACAAUUUAAGUAUGGGUUGUUAUGUUUUCAAGGUGUUCAAACGUUACGGAUGGGUUAAUUGACUAAUUUGAUAAAUUAUUCUUGAAGGUGUGAAAGGUAACUUUGGAUCACUUAAAUUCACAACCAAUUUGUGAAUUGUUGAGGGUUCAGUUCGCCAAUAUAUCGGUGAGUUGGAACUUACGUUGAGGAAAGUAAGUGAGAUAUGUAUCGUGAAAGUAAUUGAAUUUUGUGUUGUUGUGCUUAGGAUUGUUUCGAGGACGUUAGUUGAUUAAGGAGCUUCCCCAACUUUGAGGUAAGGGACUUUCUACUGGACUCACCUAAAGUUUUUUGAGUUGUGUUGGACUGUAUGGAUGAUGAUUAAGAUGUACAUGUUUGGUUGCAGACUAAAUGUUUAGUGUAUGUUGUAUUUGACUGGAAACAUAUAUAUAUAUACAUUGAUGUGUGAAUUGAUGUGGAUUGCCGAAAGUAUACAUGUGAAUGACUGAAAUUAUGCUUAUGUGUACAUGAUGAUAUUAAUAGAUUGUGCUGUAUAAAGAUUUGGAUGUGAACUAGUGAAUUUGUUUCGGUUGGAUGUGGAUUAUACUGAACUGUGGUUUGUGCUGGUGAACUGAGGGGUGUAUUGACUGUAUAGUUUGAUUGACUGACGUAUUAGUAUAUUAUUGACAGACAUAUGACUAAAGUGAGAUAAGUUGACUGUUAGGACGUUGAGAGAAAGAACUUUAUGUUUUGAAGUAACUGAAAGAUGGAUUGAAUGGAAUGAGGGGAUAAAUUGUUAGAUUGUAUUGGGAUGUUUACCUUGUAGGUGUCCCACGGGAUCACCAAUUUAUUUUGCACCUUCGGGAGCAUUUGACUGAUAUGUGUUUCUGCAGAACACUAGACUGAUAUGUACGUCCCUCGGGGCGUUAGACUGAUAUGUACGUCCCUCGGGGCGUUAGACUGAUAUGUACGUUCCUCGGGGCGUUAGACUGAGAUGUGUAUCCUACGGGAUCACAAGACUGCGAC